GCUGGGCUGGGCUGGGCUACCACGUAGGGGUGGAAACUCCUCCUCAGAGCGUCGUAUUAACCGUUUGGAAUGUUCCAUCGGCUGGCGUCCCCCGCCCGCACGGGUGUGGUACCGCCCUGAGGUGAAAGGGUUCCAGAUGAGGUGUGUGGUUCAUGGAUCAGUUCAUAACUCUGGUGUUAGUAACUCUGAGGUUCUACUGUAGUGUUGGAAGAGGAAAACAAGCUCUCCUAUUUUUUCAACUUACAAUUGGUUUCUUAGCUUUGAAUGAACUAGUCAUUGAAUUAAACUAGUGGAAUAAGAUGAAAUGAAGAGAAUAUUCUCUCUGCACCUGCAGAAGAUAGGUUACUGCCAUCAAAAGUGGUUAGCAUUUACCGAAAACUCUGUUUCUAGGCACUUAGCCAGUCAUUUCUGCCAGUUCUGUGGUUUGCCUUUCUUUAAAACUUGGUAGCAAACAUGAACUUCUUUAAUAUAAGUGUGACAUUGUACUCUGUAUGUUUAUGGAAAUAUGCUUAUGAGUGUAAAUAUAACAUAACUGGAAUAUGCUUUAUGCUAGAUAUGCCAUGUGACAUAUCUUUGCAAAAGUUAUGAUCUGCUGAAUAUAUUCAUCCUGUUUGUAUGCAUGUAUCAUUUUUAUAUCUAAAGUUAUGAGCGUUGGCUCUGUGCUCGUAUUUGAAGUGUUUGCUGUAGGAAACACAUAAGGGAGGUUUGGCCAACAUUGUGAAAGGUCUAUUCAAGUAAUUGGGAGUACUUAACUACGGUGGACUUUGGGAGACACCAAUUCACAUCUGUUCAAACUAACAUGUAAACAAUGGUAUCGGCCUGCAAAAAGCUGAAUCAUUCAUGGACAUGUGACUUGCCCAGCAGGCUACAAACUCCGUCUUGUUGCUGUGAUUUUGCAGAAGACCAAAGGGGUUUCUGCCCACAAGUGAGAGACUAUAAAAGGCCCUGGAAGCCUCUCUAUCUGGUCUUCAGCUGGCUUAAGAGAUGGCCUCUCCACCCCAACGAGAUGCCUGAAAGAAACUGGAACAAAGGGUGUGUGAGUGAUUGCUGGACCCAGACCAUAAACUACAACAUUGGUCUGAAAAAGAUUGUACCUGAGAUAACAUCUGGGGUGAGAAGUUAUUAUUUGUAACUAGAUUCUUAGUGUAUUAAGUUAGCCUUGCGUGUUUUGUUUUAUUUUGCUUGGUAACUUACUUUGUUCUGUCUGGUUUCA